UACAGAGGGGGCUAGCGUUAUUCGGAAUUAUUGGGCGUAAAGGGCGCGUAGGCGGCCAUGCGUGUCUUCCGUGAAAUCCCUCGGCUUAACUGAGGACGUGCGGAAGAAACUGCAAGGCUCGAGUCCGGGAGAGGGGGGUGGAAUUCCCAGUGUAGCGGUGAAAUGCGUAGAUAUUGGGAGGAACACCGGUGGCGAAGGCGGCUACCUGGACCGGUACUGACGCUGAGGCGCGAAAGCUAGGGUAGCAAACAGG
rnacentral:rRNA from 1 species